rnacentral:ncRNA from 2 species
UAUACGGGUAGAGGUGCGGAUAUUAUUAGUAUUUUUCCUGAGUGGAUAACGUUGAAGGAAAAUGAAAGGAAUAUUUGCCGAAAUCAGUUAGGCGUCAUCUUAACUGGUUGGGAGCGUUUCCGAAAGGAACGUUACUGCCAUAGUAUUUUUGAUUAACUAUGGAGCGCUACUAGUUUA